CGCGGGGCCGGGCGGGGGGCGCCGAGCAGAGGCCGAGGAGCUGCGGAGCGCGAGGGUCCGGCGGUAGCGGCCGGAUGGCGCCGGGAGUCCGAUGGCACGGGGAGGCGGAGCGGGUCGCGGUCUCGGGGACAAACGAGGGGGCGAGAGGAGCGCGGCCGCGCCGCUGCCUCCACCCGGGAGCCGGCGCUGGGGAGGCGGAACCGGGGAGCGGAAUCCCCGCAUCGCCUCCCGCGGACUCGGUGCCGGCCGAGCCGGGACGUCCCGAAGCGCUCCCGGGAGGGGCAGCCCCGGCACCGUCGCCCCGCGCUCGGGAACCGCUGGCCGUGCCCCGGGGCGACAGCCUCUGCCAAAGCCGUAGGGUCUGUGUGCGGAAAGUGCCACGUGUGAGUGUGUCGGUGAGUUCUGCCGUUUAUGAGUGCUAGCGUGAACGUACAUUUUAAUUAAUACCUAAUUUGCUGCAUUUAUUUUAAUAAUUUGAGUAUCUUGAAGUAUUUGCACUGUUUUGCCAAAUGCUUGCAGUAGGCGCUUCAUAGCAAACACAAUAAUUAUUUGUAACUAAUUUAGCAUUUUCUCUGUACUUUGCAACUGGAUUUGAACUCUUUCUUGAUGAACAAGACAAGAAAUUGCACUUACCCUAACAGCACAAAAUUUUACGUGUCCUUCUUUAAAAAUGGUGUGAAAAUGUACACAAGAGCUUUAAUUCACCUUGUUCACCAAAGCAGCGGGUAGGUAACGUCUCAAUUUAUAGCUAAAUGUAGCUUCAACAACACAAUUUCUCUGAAAAAAAAAAAAAAAAAAAAAAAAAAAAAAGAAGAAGAAGAAGAAAGAAGUAUCUAAGAGAGAGGAGAGCUCUAACAGCAGCCUGUAAAAAUCCCCAGUCAUUCGGUGAACUGUAUCCAUUUUUACUUGUUAACUCAUACAUUCAAUGAGAUUCCUUGAAUAUGGACCUGGAGUGAACAAUUGCAUGGCCAUUAACCAUGCCAAACUGCUACAGAACAGACGUAAUUCCUUUUCUUCUAGGUUAUAUUUCCCUGUUGUAUUUCAGUUGCCUGAGUUUGAGCCAUGGUAUUUUGCCACACUGGGUGCUAUAUUCUAUGAAUGCAGCGAAUUGGCUGUCGCUUCAUUUUUUUGGUGCCAUAUAUAUAGGGAGCAGAGGUGCCUCAUUUUGCACGAACAGAACAUUACCCACAACCAGGAGUUGGUGUCCCAGCUGCAGUGCAGAGCAGUGCUCAGUGCCCACAAGCCGCUUCCACUUCUUUACCAACGUUUCUGAUUUUCUUCAAUACUGUGUGAAAUAAACAUAUGGGAACAACAGCAAAAGGUCAAAAUAUGAGAGCAGUGUGCAGCUACGUUUGGUGCACAUCGUGAUGGUGGCAUACAGAUUAAUAGUGGUUGUCAGUCCUUUUAAUACCUGUUUCACUUGGCUGUCAUUACAAUGAUUUCUAAACCAGUCAAGUCCAUGAAGGCGUAUUCUACCAGACAACAGUUUUGCACUUAUAAAGAGUCAAGAGAUAUCUGGACACGUGACCCCUCUCCUAGUAAUACGUUCAAAUAAAAAUUGUUAGUUGAAUAUAUGCUUUCCUGAAAGAAGUUUGAUUAUUACAGGGAGACAUACUGGCCUACAUGGUGGUUUGUCCUGAGCCAGAGCGCUCAGCCACAGGAGCGGCAGCUGUUCCCAGAAGGGAAGCAGGCAGUGUGCCGGGGUGGGUGGGUGCCUCACAGUGCUACUUGAGGAUGAGCUGCCAUGGAUCCAACAGUUCUGUUUGAACUAUGUUUGAAAUACAUAGCCAAAAGUUGAAGAUAGUGAAUGCUGUUAUUGCAGUUAAAAGUAACUUAAAAAAAAAAAAAUAGCUCAAGGCAUUGAUGGCUCACGUAACCGAUUUGGGAGGCAAACUGCUACCUCUAAAAAGGACAAACACCCUCAACAAAACAAAAGAGGUUUCUCACUUUUAUGAGGAGGCAAAGGCAGGGUAGGAUUAACUAUGUCCAUGUAGCAUCACUUUACUAAGGACGAAAAUAUUUCCUCAUAUUGAAAGGUAUUGCCGCUACCCUUGAUUCAGAUCAAGGUCUAAAUCCUGCAAUUGCUUGUUACUCUAAGCACAUGAGGAGGCCCCACAGGAACUAUUCACAUGUGAAAAGAGCUAGGACCAGAGCCAAAGUUUUGCAUACUGUGAAGGUCAAGCUUGCUUCCUUUGUAAGACUUGUACUUCAGAGAAAAACUCUCAGAAAUAUGGUUUCCAUACAGAAACUUCAGCUGAUUCUUCUUCUUCAGUUGUUGGGGAGGAUGCUGUAUGUGCGGUGGCUGAUUUACAGCGUUUUGUGUAAUUCUGGCCCCUGUGACUACGGUGCUGGCUGGCUCCAGGCACUGCCUUGCAGCUCUGGGAGCUGUCCCUGCCUUUCCCGGAUUGCUGUUUCUAUGUUUUCUCUUCACACUGACUUUUUGUAAACUUCUCAGAACAAAAGGAGAAAAGCCUCAUAGAUAUUAUACAACUGUUGGCUUUAGAGCUGUUAUAGAAUAACCUCGUAAUAAAAAUGCACUGGCCAUGCAAUGAAUUCUCAGCAUUUUUCCAAAGGUCAUACAAAAUAUAUUGCUUGAGCGGCCGUACUUUGGCCACUCAGAUAAGUCAUGGGGAGACCACAGCAGAUGACAGUCUCCAGGAAAUACUGUAAUUCACUUUUAUGUCUCUAUGAAGGAAAAUAAGAGACAAAGCCUUCCCCUGACUACUGGGGAGGGGGUAUAUGUGGAGACUGGCAUAGAGAACAAAAGGGAGCUACUUUUGCAAGUGUGACAGAUAAGGUUGGAGGUCUUUCUGCUGAAGGCCUUGCGUAGCUUUGCUUUGUUUCUUUUUGUUUCUCUUCAGAGCAACAGAAGAACGCAGAAAACAAAUUGUAGCUGCACUUUACUACAUCUUUUAACAGGAUUUUGCCUCAAUCCCAAGUUAUUUUCUGAGCACAUAUUUGAAAAUUAGUUUCCAUUUUCUCCAUUUUCCAUCAUCCUCAUUUACUGGAAAUGUAAAAUAAAUCUCACUUGGGAUCCCUGAGCAUGAGAACCGCUUUUACUUCUGCUUUUUGAUAUUACAUAUUCCCUAGUUUUACCUUUUGUAGGGGCAAUCCUUACCUGGGUUGCACAAUACUUCGUAAAUGACAGUUGAUACUCUAUCUGGACUUAACAUUGAAUACAGUUGUUCUUUUAGAGUUCCCUCCUUUGCAGUGAACUAUAAUUUAUAAUAGCCGAGCAACUUUUCUAAAAUAUUCGUAGAAAAACUAUUUUUGCUAAGAAACUUACAAAUCACUUUUUUUUUUCCCCACUCAGAUUCAUAAAUGCCUAAAAUGCAAGCUAGUUGAAAACCUAACUUCAGAGGAGCUGGAGCAGAACAGCUAUGAAACAUUCUGCUGCAAUCGUGUCUUUACACCACUGAAAAUAUUGCUAUCCAGUAUCAAAUGAAUACAGUAUAAAUUAGAAAUAUCAGACAUAUACAGCUACAGCCACAAAUCUAGAUGAACGACUGCCAAAUGGCAACAGUUUCAGCUGAGUUUUGCAUGCAGUUGAAGAACAAUAUUUGUCAUGAAGAUUUCAUCUAAGUCUUCCUUGAAGCAGAAUGAAUUCCAGACUCGAGACCUCAUCUAAAUCAAACUGGAAUCUGUAUUAAGCUCAGAGUACAUUUUCAUUGUGUUUAUGUUCUACUUAUUUUUUUUUUUUAUUUUUAUUUUGCUGGCUGAAAUUAGCAUGUAUGGAACACCAAGUGUAGGGGACUGAGCUGUAUUCUUCUCUCCAGGAUAGUAAGUAAGUAAAUGAAAAAAUAAAUGAAAGAAAACAAAUCACAGAGUGAAUCUACAUGACUAUGGUAUAUCUGCAUACUUUACAGUACUGCAGGUUUAUAGCUGAGUUUCUGCAGGAUUAUUUCCUUCUACCUACAACCCAAUAGACUAUGACAGUACUGAAAAUUUCCAAGGAACCAAAAUUGGUAGGCCAUGAUGAACAAAAGUCUGAGGCAAGCACACUGGCGGAGAAUCUGUGCAAAUAGUUCUUGCUGUGUACUGCUACAAAGUGCUUAAUAAUUCCCAUUCCAAAGAUUGCUGUAUAAUAGUAGCGAGUGAGGUUGUUCAAUUGGAAAAUGCUUGGGAUUGUUUUGGAAGACAGAGUUAUGCAGAAAUGCAUGGCACUGAGAUAUAGAUUCCUUUCCUUCAAUUUAUAUAACAAGAUGUUUCUUAUUAAGUUUUUCACAGGAUUAUGUAACACACCUUUCAAAACAAGAGCAUGAAGAGGUAUAUUGACAAGAAAAGCUAACAUUUCCCCUGGUCAUAACUGGAUGUCACAUUGAUGGUCAGGUUUGGAAACACCACCAGUCAGUAAUUAACAAACAGGAGCCUGCAUUCAGUUUGCCACAUGGGAACAGUGUAGAUUACUGUAUCACUCUUACCUGACUUUUGUUUGACCUCAUAGGACAUUAUGGUCUAUCAUUUAAGUCUUGGCUAUUACUCAUGGAUGCUAUAUCUGCCUGCUGAAAAUAUAGUUCUGCCAAACAAAAUCUGAAAUUGCAUUUAUGUGUGGUUUUUGUUUUUCAUCAAAACAUCACCUGUACUUCUGUGAAAUAUGCAUAAAAGUUAAAUCAUGAGAUACGUGCAGGCAGAAAAUUCCUAUUCAGAACAAAAAUCAUUAAUAAUAAUGAUAUAUAGCAAAUAAUUUUUCGAUGGUAACUUCCUCUUGUUUCUAGAGUUACUUUUGUAACUGCUGAACAAAUAUCUAUAUUUGUUAUCCUCCUGAAUGCAGAGAAAAGUGGGCUAUCAUUUACUCUUGCUAGAUGCUUUGAGCUCUCUCAGAGAGCAUGUGGUAAACUGAAUGCAGGCCCCUGUUUGUUGUUUACUGACUGGUGGUGUUUCCAAACCUGACCACUAAUGUGACAUCCAGUUACGACCAGGGGAAAUGUUAGCUUUCUCUAUGCCAGUUUAUGUGGAACAAAUCUAAUAUAAGAAGUUAAUAAAACUCACACUGUUAAAAUGCUUAUGAAGAUUAAAGACAUGCUUGUAAAAGGUUUUUGAGAUAGUGUAAAAAUACCAAUGGGUGGUUAUGGUCGGCAACUAUUAGAACUGGAAAGAAGACUUUAGAAUCUUAAUGAUAGAGAGAAUGUAAGUUAUAGGUACACCCAGUAAAGUGGCUGUGUGUUGAUCACAUUAGGGUGUUCUGUCUUACUGUGUCACAAAUUAAUACAAAAAGUGAUGUGCAGUAUCAAGCAGUAAAUAAUUUAGAGUGAUUUUUGUGUGGAAGUUUCCCAAUCAUCCCACAAAGAAUGCUCAGCAUUUUUUGAAAAUCAAGUGCCUUUAACAAUAUCAAGCAAGGGAUGCACUAGUGCUAUUCAUUUUUAACAUCAAAGCUUGUAUUUCUACUGGUUUAUCAGUUUUCCAUUUAAUAGAAGGAAGAAAGGCUUCUUGCAUAUGAAACUGCUGCAAAAUAUGUUUCCCCAAACAGUGUACAUUGAAUAAUAUUUUAACCCACUGCAAAACCAGUUUAAUUUAUUGAAAAUGUGAUUACCAUUAUUCAAAAAAAUAUGCAAGAUGUAAAUAAUUUAUUUAAUGAAGAAUUUGAGGUGAUUUUGUAUGGCUAUCUGCAGAUGGCUGCAUUUCUCAUAGCAGAAUCGCUAGAGGGAGUCAUAGGCAAUGAUACUCCUUCAGGAUCUCAAACAGGUUUGCAACUGAAAAAUUAGAAGAGGAUUUUAGGUAAUAUUUAGCAGAAAAAGAAUACCAGAUAAUUGUAAUCUCUGUAAUUUAAUUUCGCUCUCUAGUUACUGAUUAUUAAUGAAACUAGUUUGGUCUCAGAAGACACCUAUAGCAAAUCAUGAUUUUGCAUAAGAAACAACCACAACAAACCAGCAAGAUAGAUGUCCCACAUAAGAAUUUAAAUUAACAUAUUUUUCAGUUAGUAUUAACGUGGGUGCAGUGCUGAGAAUGUGCUCACAGGAAUUUUAGAGCAAAUAGCAAAAGAAAAAUCAAACAUGAAUAGAAAUCAGUUAAAAGUGUAUUUGUCAGUCAUUUUUACCAAGGUUUCUGCACCUUUGUCUAAUUAAGUUUAGCCUAGGGCCUCCUUUGCUUUUAUGUUUAAUAUGUAGAUUUCAGUGCAGUAGAACAAAACUAGUUUUAUUCAAGAUUUAUGUAGCAGUAGGACAAAAAGGCUCAUUGGGAAAUAUAUACAUAUAUUGAAUUUUUGCUGUCCUAAGUAAUUUCCACAUUGAAUCCAAGCUGUGGAUUCACAACAUUUCUCACAACUAGGAGAACUAGGAAAAGAAUAUGGUUCUCAUCCUUAAUCCUAGCAAGUUUUGAAUGCAAUGAAAUGAUAUGCUGAUCUACUGUGAUAUUUUGUAGAUAAAACAUUUGAUUUAUAAUAAGGCAAUCAUCAAAAAGAUAUAUAUCUGUAUAUAUAUAUAUAUAUAAAUAUAUUUUUUUUAACACAAGUUUUCCUAACGAAGUCUAUGACAUCAAGCUGCGUGGUGCAGUCAACACUCCUGAGAGAUGGGAUGCUAUCCAGGGAAACCUAGAGAAGCUUGAAUAGUGAGCCCAAGAGAGCCUUAUGAGGUUCAACAAAUCCAAGUUCAAGGUCUUCUACUUGGGUCUUGGCAACCCCCCACUAUCAAUACAAGCUGGGGAAUUAAAGGAUAGAGGACAGCCCAGCCCAGCCUUGUGAAAAGGACUUGGGACACUGGCCGAUGGUAAGCUGAACAUGAGCCAGCAAUGUGCGCUCACAGCCCAGAAAGCCAACCAUAUCCUGGGCUGCAUCAACAGCAGUGCGGUCAGCAGGGAAAGAGAGGUGACCCUGCCCUCUACUCUGCUCUGAUGUGACCUCACCUGGAGUGCUGUGUCCAGAUGAGGAGUCCUCUGUACAGGAGAGAUGUGGACCUGUUGGAGAACAACCAGAGGAGAGACACAAAAAUAAUCUAAGGUAUAGAACACCUCCCCUAUGAGGACUAGGAGAGCUGGGGCUGUUCAGCCUGGAGAAUAGAAGGCUCCGGGGAGACCUGAUAGUGGCCAUUCAGUAUAUAAAGGGAGCUAUAAGAAAGAAGGGGACAGAUUAUUUAACAGAGUCUGUUGUGACAGGACAAGGGGAAAUGGUUUCAAACUAAAAGAGGGGAGAUUUAAAUUGAAUAUAAGGAAAAAGUUUUUACAAUAGGAUUUGUGAAGCACUGGAACAGGUUGCCCAGAGAGGUUGUGAGUGUCCUGUUCUUGGAGACAUUCACGGUCAGGUUGGAUGGUGUUCUGAGCAACUUGAUAUAGCUGUAGAUCAGCCUGUUAUUUGCAGAGGAACUGGACUUGAUGACUUCUAAGGGUCUCUUCCAACUAAAAUGAUUCUAUGACUCUAUAAUUGGUAGCUACCAAUAUAGCCUGAAGAUCUUAAGUUAGCACUCAUCCAGUGAAAUUAGAGUGUGCUCCUUUUUGGAGUCUAAUAAUAAAUGCAGUUUAAAGUAACAAACAACUUUGUACUUGUGGUACUUCAUAACACUGAAGCACAGCUUGUUUCCAAAAGAUAGCUACUUACAUUAGCUACUUGUUUGAAAAGAAUAUGAGACAAAAAAUGUACUGGUGACAAUUUUCUUAAGUGUCGUAGGUAUACAGUUUAAAAAUAUGUGUAAUUAGCUGUACCCCAAUGGCAUUUAUGGCUGUGAUGCUUUUUUACAGACAUAAUCAUGGUAAUAAAAGCCCUAGGAGUUGAUCUGGUGCAAAAAGGAUUCAUCUGAACUCCUGAAUUUAAACUAUUUUUAAACUCAUGUUAAUCAAAGAUUUCUAUGCUUUCUUAUUUUAGCUGUAUCAGUAUACACUGCCAGACUCAAGCAACUUAUUUUAGCCUAAGCAUUUAAAUUUCAUAAAAUUUCUCUAAAAAUUAACUGGAAAAUAAAAACAGGUCUACAGAGUGCUAAGAUAGUGGUGUUCAGAGUAGUGCAAGUGGUGUUAAGAGCUGUUGGACAAAAAAAUAGAUAUCAAGACACUUCUCAGCUCCUGUAUUUGUGUUCAGUGGAUUAGAUCAGAGUUUUAAAUUUUAAUCCCAUAUAUGACAUGAGGCCAAUUCCUAGAGAGAAACCUUUUGCUUUUACUUUGGAUUAAAUGUUGCUGAGUUUUUCUCAUAUUCGUAGCUGUGUUAUUUGGAACUGUUUCACAGAAUCAUAGAAACAUAGAGUCGCUCAGGCUGGAAAAGACCAACUGCAACCUAACUGUACUACCCUAACUGAAAUGGGAAGGGAUCUCUGCAUCCAACUGGUCCAACUCCUGUUCCAGAAGGGCACUUAGAGCAUGCUGCCCAGGACCAUGUCUAGGUAGUGUUUGAAGGUCUCCAAGGUGGAGUCCCCACAACCUCUCUCUUUGCCCUCUCCCUUCAACUAUUUGUACACAGUGAUAAGAGCCUCUUCUCCAGGCUGAACAGUCUCAGCCUAAAGCGUAUGGAAUAUGACCAUAAUUUGAGAAGAGUAAUCUAACUGCCUAAAAAUGCAUAAGAUAAGCUCUGAUUCCAGCCCAACAAUGGAUCUUUGGUAUAACUUAGAAAAAAAAUGCAAUUUCUUCAGUUUUGAAUUUUAUAAUUAAGAAUAAAAAAUGAAAAUAGUCCAUAUUUACCAUUAUUUUCAUUUACCACCUUCACUGUUAAUGACUUUAUAUAUACAGCUCAACAGGAAAACCUCUAGCUACUCUAGGCAGCUGGGGUUUGUAAUUAUUACUCUAAUUAUUCAGAAUGCCUGUAUUUGAGUUUAGCUUCUGCCAUCAUGAUCAAUACUUUUGACUUGAUGGCCUUGUGAAAUUCUGAUAUUUGCAUUCUUUAUAUUUUUAGAGAAGACAGCAAUCAGAAAGAAAUCACUGUCAUGUUUUUGAUGGUUUUGUUUGUAUACAUUGAAGAAAUGUAAAGUCAGGACAAGGCAAACUAGGAGAAAGCUGCUCUUUCUUCAUAACAUUACCACUGAGUGACUUUAAUUGCUUUAACUAUAUAAAGAGAGAACUCAGACUUACAAGUUAUUGAAGCUUAACAAACAUAACUCAUCAGCUGACCUUAAGUAACUGACCAAGUCAUUCCCCUCUGCCCAUGGCAAAGGCCUGGUAAAAUAUGUUAGCUUAUCUUUAUAACACACUCCCAUGCUGCAGUUAGAAUGGCUUAGACCACACAGGUAGUAGUUGCCAUGGAUAAGCUUAUACUAUUCUUUAAAGCAUUGCUGUUACAGUCACUGGUGUGCCUGAGCCCCUGCUUAUAGCAAUAUAUUUCUGCUUGUAAAAUUCCCUCCACAGACAAGACCAGCUUUUGCUUUUAUCAUUAUUUCAAUCACUUUAGUGUAGAUCCAAUUACACAGGUAUAAGAGUGUUUCUACUGGCAUACCCUGGCAUCAGUACAACAGCAGUUAAACACAUAACUCUAGAAUCAGGAUAGAUGUGUGAAUAACAACAUCUGAUCAACAGCCAUGCUGACAAAAUUUAAACGAGAUCAAGCUUAAAUCUUAUCCACCUCUGACAAUGGCAAUGCAUGUUAUGUGCCAGGCUUACUGGGCAUGAGAGGACAGUAUGACCAGAAGCUGAUUCAGGAAAACUUCCCUCAUGCAUGUUUAAUGCAAGUCAGAGAUAUUCAUCCCUAGCUGUGCUGUAGACAGUGGUGUCCUAACCCAAAACCACAUGCAUGGCAGCAAUAAAUGCCAAAUUUAUGACUACCACCAGAGCAUAUACAUAUACAUUAUGGCAUUGUCUAUCUAUAACUAUAUACUGUUGUGUAUUACAUUUCCCAAUGAGCUCUGCAUUCUUUUGUUAUGUGAAACAGAGAAAUAGACUGUAGAUCACGUUAGAUACGGAUUUUCUGCUUACCAAAGCCAUGGGUCAAUACACUAGAAGGCAAAGGUGAAGUACUACUGUAGUCUUUUUCCACUUUCGCUUCUAUACAUUUCCUUGCAAUGUGUUGUAAAUGAAGAGCAGAGGCCAUGAUCUGUAUUAGACCUGAACUAAAACUGUCUCACUUUGGUCUAUGAAAAAAAAAAUCUCAGCUUGUAAUCUGUACUGCCAUGUAAUUCAGGUCAUAUUCUAUCCAUAGUUAAACAAAAUGCUUUACCUGAACUGAAAAUAAAGUAUGCAUUGCUGCUGAUAUAUCUGCCAAAUUUAAAACAUGAUAUUAACUAAAGUCGACAGCAUAAGCCACUCAAACAAGCCCUGAGGGAGUCCAAAAUGCUCCUUAAUAUUUAUUUUUCAUAUUUGAUUGCAGGUUAUGCACAGGUAAGUGUAGUACUACCCUGAGGGUUUUAAGUGUAACGUAGUCAACCAUGAUAAUACCUUCAGUAUCUCAGAAGACAGUUCUCACAAUGACUAAUAUGAAAUGAAAGCGAAGCUGAGUGUUUUUCAGACUAGUGUUAAGUUUCCUCUACAGUUAUUUUAGUAGGUUUCCGAAAUGCUUUUGGUGUUUGCCUGUGAGUAAGAGAAAAACAAAUACUUUCCUAUAUCUAUCACAGUAUUUUCCAGCACUCAAAGAACCCUAACAUUAACUUGCUUUUAUAGCCCUGUAAUACACGAGAAAUCACUAUCCUCAUGAUCUUCCACUACUUCCUGUAAAAAUUUAGACUGGUGUUUCCCUGUCAUUUACUCAGAAAUGAAUCACUAACAGUUAGCACAUAUGCAUGUAGUAGUGACAAAAGAAAAUGAGCUGGAAUUAGUCUACUUCAGGUGUUCCCGUCCAUUUUAACCUCUCACAAUGGUAAAACAUGGAAGAGAUAGUCACAAAAAUACCAUGUUUUUAAAGAUAUUUUUCUAAAUCUUAAUUAUUUAAAAAGUAAAAUGUAAUAUCAUAACACAUUUAAAUAUAUUCAUACACAUUAGACAGACAUUGAAAAACAGUUAUGUCCCAGAAGAAAACAGUCUUCAGGUCAACCCUACCAGCUCUGGCUGCUCUAAGUUGCUCAACUGCUUCAAACAGACCUACUUCUGGCUUAACAGUGAGCGAAUUUCAAGCAGAUUUGUAUUGUUAGGAUAGCACAGAACACUAAAAAGUAUUACCUAAUUUUAUCUCUAAUAAGACAAAAAAAUGAAAAAGAAGGUAAAGGACAAAGUUAAGCCUAGGCUUCUUACAUAGUUUUUUGGUAGGAGUUAUACUUGCAUAAUGGGAUCAACAAAAAUUAAUAGGCUGAAUCUUGCCCCUUUACUCCACACUACUGAGGCCUCACCUGGAGUACUGCAUCCAGAUGUGGAUUCCUCAAUACAGGAGAGAGACAGACCUGUUGGAGUGCAUCCAGAAAAGGGCCACAAAAGUGAUCCAAGGGAUGGAAUACCUCUCCUAUGAGCACAGACUGAGAGAGCUGGGGCUGUUCAGCCUGGAAAAGAGAAGACUGUGAAGUGGCCUGAUAACAGAAUUUCAGUAUCUAAAGUGGAGAUACAGAAUAGAAGGGGACAGACUUUUUAGCAGAGUCUGUGAUGACAGAAGUAGGGGAAAUGGCUUCAAGCUCAAAGAUUUAGGUUGGAUAUAAGGAAAAAAGUCUUUUACAGUGAGAGUGCUGAGGCACUGGAACAGGUUACCUAGAGAUGUGCUUGACGCCCCAUCCCUGGAGACUUUCAAGGCAAGGCUGGAUAAGGCCCUUGGUAUCCUGAACUAUCUGUGGUGUUUCUGUUCAUUGCAGGGGAGUUGGACUAGAUGGCUCUCAGAGGUUCCUUCCAACUGUAAGGAUUCUAUGAUUGUAUAAAUGAAGAAAUACAGUACCCAAUGCUAUAUUUUGAAUUUCUGCCCCUCUCAAAGUCUUAGUAUCAACAGAACGUCUUACCUUCUGUAUUUCCAGAAUUACAGUUCAAGAAGUAAGAUAGUAUACACAAGAAAGGAGGGAUGAGGCUCUCCUGGCUUUCUGUAAGCAUCUCUGGUGUUAGAGCAUACCCACAGGUUACAGGAGACCAGAUUCUGUUCUCACCCAGCUGCUGGUGGGAUGGAGUAGUUGCUUUUGUGUGGAGUUUAGAAGAUGUACUCCUACUGUUAAUUUAAUUUAAAUUCUGGAUGAUAGGAAAAAAGUUUUCCUCUGUCAUUUCUCUAACACCAGUAGCUUUAGAGGAAGCCAAGUUCUACCAGAAAACAUGAGAUAAAUGUAAUUCUGGUGACUGGAGUUAUGAUUUCUGUACUAAGUUUGUCUUAGAAGACAAGUGAAAAGAUGCUUUAUCACAGUUCAGCUUUAAAUUUUGAAGGCUUUGUCUUGUGAAACUAGGAUAUUUCACCAAAAUGCAGUUCCUUUCCUUUUAUCAUCUUCAGAGAUGAGUUAAUGGAUUAGUAUUUUUGUUAAUAUAAUUAUUACAAACAUAAAACUUAAUCUGGGCAUAAAUAAUAAAGUUUUGUUACUGAUUUUAUUUUAUUUUAUUGAGUAAUCCUCUCAAGUAUGUUUUUAAAAGAACAAGAUGCAUAAUGGAAAGCACUUUAAACAGAUUACGUCCAAAAUUUGAAACAAAAAAGUAUUGAAGUGUUU
ensembl:lncRNA